rnacentral:rRNA from 1 species
UUGAACGCUGGCGGCAGGCCUAACACAUGCAAGUCGAACGGUAACAGGAAGAAGCUUGCUUCUUUGCUGACGAGUGGCGGACGGGUGAGUAAUGUCUGGGAAACUGCCUGAUGGAGGGGGAUAACUACUGGAAACGGUAGCUAAUACCGCAUAACGUCGCAAGACCAAAGAGGGGGACCUUCGGGCCUCUUGCCAUCGGAUGUGCCCAGAUGGGAUUAGCUAGUAGGUGGGGUAACGGCUCACCUAGGCGACGAUCCCUAGCUGGUCUGAGAGGAUGACCAGCCACACUGGAACUGAGACACGGUCCAGACUCCUACGGGAGGCAGCAGUGGGGAAUAUUGCACAAUGGGCGCAAGCCUGAUGCAGCCAUGCCGCGUGUAUGAAGAAGGCCUUCGGGUUGUAAAGUACUUUCAGCGGGGAGGAAGGGAGUAAAGUUAAUACCUUUGCUCAUUGACGUUACCCGCAGAAGAAGCACCGGCUAACUCCGUGCCAGCAGCCGCGGUAAUACGGAGGGUGCAAGCGUUAAUCGGAAUUACUGGGCGUAAAGCGCACGCAGGCGGUUUGUUAAGUCAGAUGUGAAAUCCCCGGGCUCAACCUGGGAACUGCAUCUGAUACUGGCAAGCUUGAGUCUCGUAGAGGGGGGUAGAAUUCCAGGUGUAGCGGUGAAAUGCGUAGAGAUCUGGAGGAAUACCAGUGGCGAAGGCGGCCCCCUGGACGAAGACUGACGCUCAGGUGCGAAAGCGUGGGGAGCAAACAGGAUUAGAUACCCUGGUAGUCCACGCCGUAAACGAUGUCGACUUGGAGGUUGUGCCCUUGAGGCGUGGCUUCCGGAGCUAACGCGUUAAGUCGACCGCCUGGGGAGUACGGCCGCAAGGUUAAAACUCAAAUGAAUUGACGGGGGCCCGCACAAGCGGUGGAGCAUGUGGUUUAAUUCGAUGCAACGCGAGGAACCUUACCUGGUCUUGACAUCCACGGAAGUUUUCAGAGAUGAGAAUGUGCCUUCGGGAACCGUGAGACAGGUGCUGCAUGGCUGUCGUCAGCUCGUGUUGUGAAAUGUUGGGUUAAGUCCCGCAACGAGCGCAACCCUUAUCCUUUGUUGCCAGCGGUCCGGCCGGGAACUCAAAGGAGACUGCCAGUGAUAAACUGGAGGAAGGUGAGGAUGACGUCAAGUCAUCAUGGCCCUUACGACCAGGGCUACACACGUGCUACAAUGGCGCAUACAAAGAGAAGCGACCUCGCGAGAGCAAGCGGACCUCAUAAAGUGCGUCGUAGUCCGGAUUGGAGUCUGCAACUCGACUCCAUGAAGUCGGAAUCGCUAGUAAUCGUGGAUCAGAAUGCCACGGUGAAUACGUUCCCGGGCCUUGUACACACCGCCCGUCACACCAUGGGAGUGGGUUGCAAAAGAAGUAGGUAGCUUAACCUUCGGGAGGGCGCUUACCACUUUGUGAUUCAUGACUGGGGUG